rnacentral:rRNA from 1 species
ACGAACGCUGGCGGCGUGCCUAAUACAUGCAAGUCGAGCGGACCGGAUCAGGGCUUGCUCUGGUUUGGUCAGCGGCGGACGGGUGAGUAACACGUGGACAACCUGCCCGCAAGACCGGGAUAACUCCGGGAAACCGGAGCUAAUACCGGAUAACACCGAAGACCGCAUGGUCUUCGGUUGAAAGGAGGCCUUUGGCUGUCACUUGCGGAUGGGCCCGCGGCGCAUUAGCUAUUUGGUGAGGUAACGGCUCACCAAGGUGACCAUGCGUAUCCGGCCGAAAAGGUGACCGGCCACACUGGGACUGAAACACCGGCCAGACUCCUACGGGAGG